GGGCCCGCACAAGCGGUGGAGUAUGUGGUUUAAUUCGAUGCAACGCGAAGAACCUUACCAGGGCUUAAAUGUAGUCUGACAGAUUUGGAAACAGAUUUUUCUUCGGACAGAUUACAAGGUGCUGCAUGGUUGUCGUCAGCUCGUGCCGUGAGGUGUCAGGUUAAGUCCUAUAACGAGCGCAACCCCUGUUGUUAGUUGCCAGCGAGUAAUGUCGGGAACUCUAGCAAGACUGCCGGUGCAAACCGUGAGGAAGGUGGGGAUGACGUCAAAUCAUCACGGCCCUUACGUCCUGGGCCACACACGUGCUACAAUGGUAGGUACAGAGAGCAGCCACGUCGCAAGGCGGAGCGAAUCUAUAAACCUAUCACAGUUCGGAUCGGGGUCUGCAACUCGACCCCGUGAAGCUGGAAUCGCUAGUAAUCGCAUAUC
rnacentral:rRNA from 1 species